rnacentral:rRNA from 1 species
UACAGGGGGGGCAAGCGUUGUUCGGAAUUACUGGGCGUAAAGGGCUCGUAGGUGGCCAACUAAGUCAGACGUGAAAUCCCUCAGCUUAACUGGGGAACUGCGUCUGAUACUGGAUGGCUUGAGUUUGGGAGAGGGAUGCGGAAUUCCAGGUGUAGCGGUGAAAUGCGUAGAUAUCUGGAGGAACACCUGUGGUGUAGACAGCUUACUGGACCACUUCUGACGCUGAGACACGAAAGCGUGGGUAGCAAACAGG